GAUGAAGAACGCAGCGAAAUGCGAUAAGUAGUGUGAAUUGCAGAUUUCAGUGAAUCAUCGAAUCUUUGAACGCACAUUGCGCCCCCUGGUAUUCCGGGGGGCAUGCCUGUCCGAGCGUCAUUGCUGCCCAUCAAGCACGGCUUGUGUGUUGGGUCCCGUCCCCCUCUCCCGGGGGACGGACCCGAAAGGCAGCGGCGGCACCGCGUCCGGUCCUCGAGCGUAUGGGGCUUUGUCACCCGCUCUUGUAGGCCCGGCCGGCGCUUGCCGACACCCAACCAUUUUUUUCAGGUUGACCUCGGAUCAGGUAGGGAUACCCGCUGAACUUAAGCAUAUCAAUAAGCGGAGGA
rnacentral:misc_RNA from 1 species